GACGAACGCUGGCGGCGUGCUUAACACAUGCAAGUCGAACGGGAAGGCCCUGCUUUUGUGGGGUGCUCGAGUGGCGAACGGGUGAGUAACACGUGAGUAACCUGCCCUUGACUUUGGGAUAACUUCAGGAAACUGGGGCUAAUACCGGAUAGGAGCUCCUGCUGCAUGGUGGGGGUUGGAAAGUUUCGGCGGUUGGGGAUGGACUCGCGGCUUAUCAGCUUGUUGGUGGGGUAGUGGCUUACCAAGGCUUUGACGGGUAGCCGGCCUGAGAGGGUGACCGGCCACAUUGGGACUGAGAUACGGCCCAGACUCCUACGGGAGGCAGCAGUGGGGAAUAUUGCACAAUGGGCGGAAGCCUGAUGCAGCAACGCCGCGUGCGGGAUGACGGCCUUCGGGUUGUAAACCGCUUUCGCCUGUGACGAAGCGUGAGUGACGGUAAUGGGUAAAGAAGCACCGGCUAACUACGUGCCAGCAGCCGCGGUGAUACGUAGGGUGCGAGCGUUGUCCGGAUUUAUUGGGCGUAAAGGGCUCGUAGGUGGUUGAUCGCGUCGGAAGUGUAAUCUUGGGGCUUAACCCUGAGCGUGCUUUCGAUACGGGUUGACUUGAGGAAGGUAGGGGAGAAUGGAAUUCCUGGUGGAGCGGCGGAAUGCGCAGAUAUCAGGAGGAACACCAGUGGCGAAGGCGGUUCUCUGGGCCUUUCCUGACGCUGAGGAGCGAAAGCGUGGGGAGCGAACAGGCUUAGAUACCCUGGUAGUCCACGCUGUAAACGGUGGGUACUAGGUGUGGGGUCCAUUCCACGGGUUCCGUGCCGUAGCUAACGCUUUAAGUACCCCGCCUGGGGAGUACGGCCGCAAGGCUAAAACUCAAAGGAAUUGACGGGCCCCGCACAAGCGGCGGAGCAUGCGGAUUAAUUCGAUGCAACGCGUAGAACCUUACCUGGGUUUGACAUGGAUCGGGAGUGCUCAGAGAUGGGUGUGCCUCUUUUGGGGUCGGUUCACAGGUGGUGCAUGGCUGUCGUCAGCUCGUGUCGUGAGAUGUUGGGUUAAGUCCCGCAACGAGCGCAACCCUUGUUCACUGUUGCCAGCACGUUAUGGUGGGGACUCAGUGGAGACCGCCGGGGUCAACUCGGAGGAAGGUGGGGAUGACGUCAAGUCAUCAUGCCCCUUAUGUCCAGGGCUUCACGCAUGCUACAAUGGCUGGUACAGAGAGUGGCGAGCCUGUGAGGGUGAGCGAAUCUCGGAAAGCCGGUCUCAGUUCGGAUUGGGGUCUACAACUCGACCUCAUGAAGUCGGAGUCGCUAGUAAUCGCAGAUCAGCAACGCUGCGGUGAAUACGUUCCCGGG
rnacentral:rRNA from 1 species